rnacentral:rRNA from 1 species
GACGAACGCUGGCGGCGUGCUUAACACAUGCAAGUCGAACGGAAAGGCCCGGCUUUUGUGGGGUUCUCGAGUGGCGAACGGGUGAGUAACACGGGAGUAACCUGCCCUUGACUUUGGGAUAACUUCAGGAAACUGGGGAUAAUACCCGAUAGGAGCUCCUGCUGCAUGGGGGGGGUUGGAAAGUUUCGGCGGUUGGGGAUGGACGCGCGGCUUAUCAGCUUGUUGGGGGGGUAGUGGCUUACCCAGGCUUUGACGGGUAGCCGGCCUGAGAGGGUGACCGGCCACCUUGGGCCUGAGAUACGGCCCAGACUGCUACGGGAGGCAGCAGUGGGGAAUAUUGCACAGUGGGCGGAAGCCUGAUGCAGCAACGCCGCGUGCGGGAUGACGGCCUUCGGGCUAUAAACCGCUUUCGCCUGUGACGAAGCGUGAGUGACGGUAAUGGGUAAAGAAGCACCGGCUAACUACGUG